GUGAAAGUCUCGCGAUAGCUCCAUGCCCACCAUUUUACAGAAUACGGGAUUGGCUGGAAUACCGAAGGAAGCGGGGCAGUAGUCAGAUAUGGGCGGAACCUCCCCUCUAGAAAGGCGGAGCACCCUUUGAAGAGCGAGAUGGCUUUGAAAGGUCAGAUUUAUUUCAAAGUACAAAGUUUGUUCUGUCUCUCCUGCUGCAAGCUCAACCUGCAAACUGAAAACUCAAGCUGUGUCCCUUCUGCCUAUCAUUGUUUGAAAGGAAAAUUUGUAAUCUGUAUGCAAAAUGCUGCAUUGGAUGUGAAUUUAUGACAUAUACUGAAUCAUUUCUUUCAAGUGUUUGGGGUUGAAUAAAGCAAUGUGUUAAAUUAGAUAAAAGCAAGGACACAGUUGAAGAAGGAAGAACCUUGAGAAUGAAAACAGGAAGAGGCUCAAGGGAAAGAUGCUCUAGA
rnacentral:lncRNA from 1 species